CUGGUAAAAAAAAAGUUUCAAUGGGGGCCUGAGUAAAAGUGUUUGGUGAGGAAAUGGCUGAGUAGCCUAGCAAUAUUAAAUCGACUAUAACCGAUAUCCGAACAAGAGGGCAAUUCAUGAGUCAGGAGAGAAGUUAUUUAACCCAGGAAAAGGGAGUGGUUUUGGGUGGUUAAUCUUGGUAACCAGGUUCCCGCCAUUCAACCCUAACCUGCACCCACACUUUUUCACCUCUCCCUUGACAAUCCACCAUCUCUCCCUUGACACGCAUGCACCCAUACCAUUCCUGUGCUUGUCCUUCAUUCUCCCUGAAAAAGGUCCCUGUUACAGCAGAUCUGCUCGAGUUGGCGACACUAAAAAUAAGUUGCAAACGUGCUCCCGCUCUGUUUCCAAGGUUUAAUAUUGUCCCCCCGGCUAUGACACUGUCACACUGAGCUGUAGCUAGAGUUGUUUGUGUGUGUGUGUGUGUUUGUUUUAGUCUAGAUGGACUGUAAAUGAGCAUGUCUUUAACUCUCUUUUCCCAAAUUAAUAUUUAGUUACCACACACCACAAUGUGUUCAUUGCUAAUUGGUUUAUUAACUAGCUUAGAAUUCAUGCCAGCUCUAUUCACUCUAUUCCUAUCUGUGACUUCCAGAACGUUUCACAUCACUGAAUACACCCCACGACGGUUCAGUGCCCUGUGUUGUCAUGUUGCAUGUGACCCCAGGUAGUGGGUUUAAACAUGCUCUUCGUUCUAAUCAAAACAGCCUGGCUGGAUCUGCCAAUCUCUCUCUCCACGCUCUCCUAUGAGAAGGAGUCGUUUGUGUUGGUCCCUUCACUCUCCCUUCUUCUCCCGCUGUCUCUGUAUCUUGCCCAAACAGUUUGUUGUUCCACCUCAAAAAGCACAAGACAGAGGAUUUCGACACCCACCAUUUUGUCGAAAUAUAAUUGAAUCUCUGAGACAUUAAGCUGAUUGAUCGCACCCAAAUUGGCCAUUUUAAAUUAGAGGAUUCAUAUAAUAUUCAAUAAAUAUAGUACAUAACAUCCAAUUUGGACCCCGACAAAAAUCUUACAAUGAGAAACAUUCCGACGGACCCCCCCACGCCAAUCCAUAACAAAUGUCUAUGUUUGACAAGUAUACUGAACAAAAAUUAUUUUGAGUAAAGUCAUUGAAAUUGUUGCGUUUAUAAGGAAAUCGGUCAAUUUAAAUAAUCUCAUAAGGCCCUAAUUUAUGGAUUUCACAAGACUGGGUAGGGGUACAGUCGUGGGUGGGUCAUGGGUGCCACCCCCCCACCACUGGGGAGCCACGCCCAGCCAAUCAGAAUGAGUUUUUCCUCACAAAAGGGCUUUAUUACAGACAGAAAUACGCCUCAGUUUCAUCAGCUGUCCGGUUGGCUGGUCUCAGACGAUCCCACAGGUAAAGAAGCCGAUUGUGGAGGUCCUGGGCUGGUGUGGUUAGACGUGGUUUGCGGUUUUGAUGCCGGUUGGACGUGCUGCCAAAUUCUUUAAAAUGACCUUGGGAGGCGGCUUAUUGUAGAGAAAUUAACAUUAAAUUCUCUGGCAAUGUUACCGGCCUCAGUCUAGCUGAGGUGGCCUGUAAUAGUAAAAAUAACGGACACAAGUUUACGUCUGCAAAGUUCUGGUGUUUUCUUUAUUCUGAAGAAUGUUUUUUUUUCUCUUGUUCAAUUGUCUAUUUUCUUCUUCGUACUUUUAAAACAUUAACAUCAAACAAGUGCACACUUUAAAAUACACUGCAUAAAUGCACUUUACCUAAAGCAGAAUUCGAAAAUGUUCCACAAAUAACCCCGUCUACUGUAUGAUUUCACAUGAAAACCACAAUGCAUUUCAUGUUCAUACAAUAGAAACACUUAUAUAUAUAUAUAUAUGUAUGUAUGUAUG
rnacentral:lncRNA from 1 species